rnacentral:rRNA from 1 species
AUUGAACGCUGGCGGCAGGCCUAACACAUGAAAGUCGAACGAGUGGCGGAAGGGUGAGUAAUGUCUGGGAAACUGCCAGAUAGAGGGGGAUAACUACUGGAAACGGUGGCUAAUACCGCAUACCAUCAGAUGACACCAUAUGGGAUUCGAUUGUGGGGGGGGUAACGGCUAAACAAGGCGACGAUCCCUAGCUGGUCUGAGAGGAUGACCAGCCACACUGGAAAUGAGACAGGGUCCAGACUCCUACGUGAGGCAGCAGUGGGGAAUAUUUCAAAAUGGGCGCAAGCCUGAUGCAGCCAUGCCGCGGGUAUGAAGAAGGCCUUCGGGUUGUAAAGUACUUUCAGCGGGGAGGCGUUACCCGCAGAAGAAGCACCGGCUAACUCCGUGCCAGCCGCCGCGGUAAUAC